UGAGUAACCUGCCCUGGACUUUGGGAUAACCCUCGGAAACGGGGGCUAAUACCGGAUAUGACCUGCUUCCGCAUGGUGGUGGGUGGAAAGUUUUUCGGUCUGGGAUGGGCUCGCGGCCUAUCAGCUUGUUGGGUGGGGUGAUGGCCUACCAAGGCGACGACGGGUAGCCGGCCUGAGAGGGUGACCGGCCACACUGGGACUGAGACACGGCCCAGACUCCGUACGGGAGCA
rnacentral:rRNA from 1 species